rnacentral:lncRNA from 1 species
GACAAAUUAGACAACCUCUCUGAGCCGCAGCGUCCUCAGUGAAAAGUGAAGAUUACAGAAGAUGUACAAAAUAACUGCAUAGUGCCUGACAGUGGGUGGUUGCCUCUUAAAGUUUGGUAGCUGCUGCUGCUGCUGCUGAUGACGAUGACGAUUUUGUGUUAGAUAUUGUGCUAGGUACUGGGAUUCAAGGGUGAAGAAAACAGAAGCCCCGCUAUUGAGGAGGUUACAGUCUAGUGGGAGAGACUGAGAAGUUUGUCACCUCUUAAUUGCAAUGUGGCUGCCAUAGCUCCAGACAUCACAUCCAC